rnacentral:rRNA from 1 species
GUGCCAGCCGCCGCGGUAAUACGUAGGUGGCAAGCGUUAUCCGGAAUUAUUGGGCGUAAAGCGCGCGUAGGCGGUUUUUUAAGUCUGAUGUGAAAGCCCACGGCUCAACCGUGGAGGGUCAUUGGAAACUGGAAAACUUGAGUGCAGAAGAGGAAAGUGGAAUUCCAUGUGUAGCGGUGAAAUGCGCAGAGAUAUGGAGGAACACCAGUGGCGAAGGCGACUUUCUGGUCUGUAACUGACGCUGAUGUGCGAAAGCGUGGGGAUCAACAGGA